UACGGAGGGGGCUAGCGUUGUUCAGAAUUACUGGGCGUAAAGCGCACGUAGGCGGCUUUGUAAGUUAGAGGUGAAAGCCCAGGGCUUAACCCUGGAAUUGCCUUUAAGACUGCAUCGCUAGAAUCGUGGAGAGGUGAGUGGAAUUCCGAGUGUAGAGGUGAAAUUCGUAGAUAUUCGGAAGAACACCAGUGGCGAAGGCGACUCACUGGACACGUAUUGACGCUGAGGUGCGAAAGUGUGGGGAGCAAACAGG
rnacentral:rRNA from 1 species